rnacentral:rRNA from 1 species
UACGGGGGGGUGCGAGCGUUGUCCGGAUUCACUGGGCGUAAAGGGCGCGUAGGCGGCUAGAUCAGUCGGUUCUAUAAGUGCGAGGCUUAUCCUCGUGAGGGGGCCGAGACGGUCUAGCUGGGGCGCGGUAGAGGGAGACGGAAUGCCGGGUGUAGUGGUGAAAUGCGUAGAGAUCCGGCGGAACACCGGUGGUGAAGGCGGUUUCCUGGACCGAUUGCCGACGCUGAGGCGCGAGAGCGGUGGGGAGCGGAACCGG